AAGGAAUGUUUUGCAACAAAAAGAAC
rnacentral:tRNA from 1 species